UUGACCUUCCAAACAAGACAUAUCAAACGAGAUAAUGACACUGAUCAGCCUGACUUAUUUUUAGCUCUACUGGUCAGAGACAAGAAAGCUUGUGAUUGUAAACAAGGGCAUGACAUGGUGGAAACAGCUGGAGGAGACAGGGCCAUUGGAUGCUAAUCUUCCAAGAUGUGGAAACCACAGAUGUCCUCAACAAGACUUGUGUAACAGCAGAUGCACCCAACUGGACAUGGAUAGAAACAACUUGAUGAUGCAUAGCCAGUACUUGCUGAUCUUCCAAGAUGUGGAAACAGCAAAUGCACCCAACAGUACAUGGUGAAAACAGUAGAUGAACCCAAAAGGACCUGAUAGAAACAACUGGAGGAUGAAUAGCCAAAGGAUGCUGAUCUGACAUUUAUCAGCUGCAGCCAACAGAACCUUGUGGAAACAACUGAAAUAGACAAGCUUGAUGAACCUCUUUUAAGAUGCGAAAACAAUGAUUUUCCAAUAUGUGAAAACACCAGCUACACCCAAAAGGAAUUGGUGGAAAGAUGGGAAAGCAACAAAUACUUCUAAAAAGACUUAGUGAAAUAAAUCUU